AGAGUUUAAAAAUAUCCAAAUUGUCAACAUGAUACUAUUUUGUGGAGUAAAAUUCAAGAAUAAUAUUCAUGUAUCAAGAAUAAUUUGGACAGAAAAAAAUCAAUUUUUUAUCGUGAAUAAUACCCCAUAAAUAGUACCUAGUGAAUAGUACCUCAUGAAUAGUACCCCAUGAAUAGUACCCCGUAUUCAUAAAUAGUGCCGUAUAAAUAAAUAGUGUUGUAUACAUAAAUAGUGUCAUAUACAUGAAUAGUGCCGUAUACGUGAAUAGUACCGUAUACGUGAAUAGUAAUCCUGACAUGAAAAAGAUAAAGUUUCACAAUAAAAUUAAUAUCAAUAUUUUGGUAUAAUGAUAUUAAAGGAAAUAACAUCAUUUACUUGAAAAAAAUAACAUCCCUUACCUCAAAAGAAUAACACUUCUAACUGAAAUAUCGGAUAUAAUACUAAAGGAAACUUGCAUUGUAUAGCAACACUCAAGAUAUUUAAAUACUCACAAAAAUACGCUCGAUAUUAUAGAGAGAGAAAACUUCUGAUUCUGG
rnacentral:lncRNA from 1 species